UAAUUGACUCGGGAAGUUAAGGAAGGCAGUUGCGGAGCGGUUGGCAUCAGCAAUGGCUUAGAAAACCGUCCCUUUAUGUUGUAUUAGUGAGCCAAGUGGCUGGCCUGCAUGCCGCCAUGUGUCCCUUGACAGUUUAGUGUGUAAACUGCAUUGUAACUUGUAUUUAUAGGCCCUAGAGUGCACAAAUCCGACCCAUUCAGAUAGAG
rnacentral:lncRNA from 1 species